rnacentral:piRNA from 1 species
UUGAAUAACUGUGUAUUCCUCUGGAUCUA